GACGAGUGGCCCAAGCGUUAGUCGGAAUCACUGGGCUUAAAGGGUGCGUAGGCGGAUGGGUAAGUGCUUUGUGAAAGCCCCGGGCUCAACCCGGGAACCGCAGGGCAUACUGCUUAUCUUGAGGAAGGUAGAGGCCGGCGGAACGAUAGGUGGAGCGGUGGAAUGCAUAGAGAUCUAUCGGAACGCCAAGGGUGAAGACAGCCGGCUGGGCCUUUCCUGACGCUGAGGCACGAAAGCGUGGGGAGCAAACAGG
rnacentral:rRNA from 1 species